AUCCUACGGGGCGCAGCAGUGGGGGAUAUUGCACAAUGGAGGAAACUCUGAUGCAGCGACGCCGCGUGGGUGAAGGAGUAUUUCGGUAUGUAAAGCCCUAUCAGCAGGGAAGAACGAUGACGGUACCUGACUAAGAAGCACCGGCUAAAUACGUGCUAGCAGCCGCGGUAAUACGUAUGGUGCAAGCGUUAUCCGGAUUUACUGGGUGUAAAGGGAGCGCAGGCGGCGCGUUAAGCCUGGUGUGAAAGCCCGCGGCCCAACCGCGGGACUGCCUUGGGAACUGGCGCGCUGGAGUGCCGGAGGUG
rnacentral:rRNA from 1 species